rnacentral:lncRNA from 1 species
AAUUUUUAAAAUUUCUCUUGAGUUUGAGGGUUGUAUCUAUCUUCUUUGCAGCUGUCAACCAUGCAUUGCUGUUGUACUCAGGCAAUGUUCAGGAAAUAUUUGUGGUCCUCAAGGUUAUUGUUCAUUGUUCUGAUGUGGUCCUGUGAGAACCUACCUCAGCCCCUGACACUUGGUCACUUAGACAAAUUCAAACUACUUUCAAGACAGGAUCUAAAACAUCGACCUCAAAUCCUACAGAAAAUUCCUAGAGACAGCAUCCUUCCUGCCCAGGUCACUGCUGUCCCCAGGCUUGGCACAUAGUUGAUAAUCUACAUGUAUUUGUUAAAGAACUAACUGAAGAACCACAAUCUGCAACUGAUUACACCCAGAGCCUGGGGGCUGGUCCUUAUGUUGGAAAGCUUUGGACUUCCCUCUGUUAAGAGGAAGAAAAUCUCACUCAUCCUUAGCCUGUGCAUGGUGAAGAUGAAGACACAGCACUAUAGUUGGUUUGGCCUAAUGCUGCUUGUAUUCUAAGGCUAAAGCAUCUACAUGGAAGACACUGAGGGACCCUGCCCUCACUUGGUUCUGAUUAGUAAGUAAAGAUACAGGCAGCCAAUGGCUGUGUGGGGCAGUCAGAGGCUAGACUUGAGGACUCAAGGGCUUGGGAAUGAGAGGGAGAAGGAGAUCCACCAUGCUGGGAGAGUGUAGAGGAGAAGAGAUGCCUUGCCUGAGAAGAGUGGAGGACAGGGAGGCAUAGCAGCCAUGUGAAGGAGCCAGGAGAGGGCCCACCAGAGGGCUGCCCAACUGGGUCCAGGGCAGCCAAGGUAGAAUACAAAAUUUAGUAAGUGAUAACUCAGGAUUAUCAGUGGGAGGUGGAUAACUGCAUGGAGGUUAGACAGUGGCCCAGCUCUUGUGAUGAUUAAGGCAUGUUAAAAUAUAAUAAAACACAUGGAGGGACCCAUGGCUACAGCUGCAUAUGUAGCAGAGAAUGACCUUAUCUGGCAUCAAUGGGAGGGG